rnacentral:rRNA from 1 species
UGGGGAAUUUUGCGCAAUGGGCGAAAGCCUGACGCAGCAACGCCGCGUGGGUGAUGAAGGUCUUCGGAUCGUAAAACCCUGUCGUCAGGGACGAAGGUCAGGAGUUGAAUAGGCUCUUGGCUUGACGGUACCUGGAGAGGAAGCCCCGGCUAACUCUGUGCCAGCAGCCGCGGUAAUACAGAGGGGGCAAGCGUUAUUCGGAAUUACUGGGCAUAAAGGGCGUGCAGGCGGGAGAGCAAGUCUGAUGUGAAAGCCCGGGGCUUAACCCCGGAAGGGCAUUGGAAACUGCUUUUCUUGAGUUCUGGAGAGGAAGGGAGAAUUCCCGGUGUAGAGGUGAAAUUCGUAGAGAUCGGGAGGAACAUCAGUUGCGAAGGCGCCCUUCUGGACAGCAACUGACGCUGAGACGCGAAAGCGUGGGGAGCAAACA